CGGAAGUCGACGGCGGGCCCCGCCCUCGCGAGGAGGGUGGCCGUCACCGACCGCCGAGGAGCCCCAGCGCCGUUCACACCCUCCUCGCCGACAUCAUGCUCCAGUUCCUGCUUGGAUUUACUUUGGGCAACGUGGUCGGAAUGUAUCUGGCUCAGAACUAUGACAUACCAAACCUGGCUAAAAAACUUGAAGACAUUAAGAAGGACCUGGAAGCCAAGAAGAAGCCCCCUAGCUCCUGACGCCCUUGCCGGCGCUCCAUCCUGGACACAGAUCCACUGCUGCCAGGGCCUCCUUUGCCACCGCGUCUCACUCACAGCUCUCAUUUUCCUCUCCGGUCCGUUAUUUUCUUAGCUCAACCCCGUAUGUUGCCUCAGAGCCAAGAUGGGGCCUCAAGUUAAGUUACCCUUUGCACAUUUUCAACAGCCUCACCUUGUCUCAUAUCUUCCUUCCAACUACUUGGGAGGUUUUAAGACUGGAAUUAUGGUGCUAGAUUAGCAAACCCAACCUUUAACUGGUAGCUGCUCCUCUGUUCUUUGGGAAUUUCUAUCUUUCGCCAAAAGAAAAAUUGAUGUGUUUUGUAUAGCUGAUCAUAUAUACAAGUAAUGCUGAUUUCACAAUUUAGCAAUUACAAUGGGUGCUUGUUAGACAUUUGUUACUAAAUUUUGUUGUUUCAAAGCAAUUAAACUUAGUAUGUGGAAGCCAGUUUCUGAUGAAUUAUCCAUUUUAUUUUGUAUUGUUAUUAGGAGCUCCGCUGACUGUUAAUUUAAUCAAUCAAUUGUUUGCUGGUCAUUCCCUGAGAAAUUAAAGUCUAAGAAUACUGAGAUUCUUACACCAAGAAACUGGGGUUUUUAUCAAAUUGUACAGUUUUAUUUAGUAUACAUAGUUUUCUUCAAUGAUAUAUUUGACUCUUCCUCAGAAGAACCAUUCUUGGGAUUAUGGGUGCAUUUGAUGCUGCAUCAUGGAUGGAGACUCAAAGCCUAAGCUGGCCUCCAACUUGCUAUUUAGCUGAAGAUGACUGUGAGCUCCCGAUCCUCCUGCCUGCAGCUCGUCUGUGCUGGGAUUACAGGCACGCGCCACCCUUCCUGGCUGCUAGUUUUGUUCUCAGUGGAGUUCGUUUCCUUCAGUAUAAGGAACAGGGUUCUUUUUUCACCUUGUACGAUUCUGUGGAAUGAACCCAGCAUAACUGAACGUGCUGCUGCUGACUCUUGGUGGCUCUUCUGCUAGAGUGGGGCGACCCUGCCAGUGUCAACACGCAUCUGUCCAGGGCACAGCUAUGGUUAAGGGCCUAAGAGUGUUGUUUGCAUUAACGUGGAUUAGGUUGCUUCAGAGGGCUUGCUGGGCAGCUUCACUAAUGCCUUUCAGACAACAUUUGUACAGAUUUAACUAGAAUGACUUACAGACACACCUCUUCAGAUGGUGACACUGAUCCUAUAUGUACUUCUAAAAGUUUGUCUUUGAAGACCUGGACCUCUCAUACAUGCAGAUCAGGAUCCCUGUUAAAGUCACCCUCAUGUAUGAGACAGAUAAGGAUCAAAUUAAGGUUUGGCUUUUCAUUUGAGCAAGUGGCUCAUUCUUUCUGAAAUUUGCAUUAUCUGUAAGAUGUAGAUGUAUUACCUACCUCAUAGGAUCUUCAUGAGAAAUAACUGAGAUAAUGUACCUGUUUUGUUACACUGUACUUUGCAAAUUAUCUAAUAAAUAGUAGAUUAUUAGUGGAAA